rnacentral:lncRNA from 1 species
AUAAAUUUGCUUCUUAAAAUAAAAAAAUUCAUCACUAAAAGUAUAUUAUUAAUAUUAUAUAUUGCUAACCUUCAACUAAUUGCUCACCAUCUUAAAAUAAGCAUUCUAUUGUGUAGUUUUUUCUAUUCUGCCUCAUUGACUAGAUUUGAAAUGAUACUACUAAUGGUAGUGACUUCUACCUUAUUUCUUGAUUUGUCCUUCAAAUUUGGCC